GUCUUUUUGAUUAUAAUUUAAAGUCUAACCUGCCCACUGAAAUUUUUGAAGGGCCGCGGUAUUUUGACUGUGCAAAGGUAGCAUAAUCAUUAGUCUUUUAAUUGGAGGCUUGUAUGAAUGGUUGGAUGAGGUAUUAACUGUCUCAAUUUAAUAAAUAAUAGAAUUUUAUUUUUAAGUUAAAAAGCUUAAAUUUUAUUAAAAGACGAGAAGACCCUAUAGAUCUUUAUAAUUAAAUUUGUAAUAAUUUUUUAGAUAAAUUUUAUUUUUAUAAAAAUAAUUAUUAUAUUGGGGUGAUAAAAAAAUUUAUAAAACUUUUUUUUUAAGUUAACAAUGAUAUUUGAUUAAUUGAUCCAUUUUUUGUGAUUAUAAGAUUAAGUUACCUUAGGGAUAACAGCGUAAUUUUUUUGGAGAGUUCUUAUCGAUAAAAAAGAUUGCGACCUCGAUGUUGAAUUAAAGGUUAAUUUUAGGUGUAGAAGUUUAAAAUUUUGGUCUGUUCGACCAUUGAAUC
rnacentral:rRNA from 1 species